rnacentral:misc_RNA from 1 species
GAUGAAGAACGUAGCAAAAUGCGAUAAGUAAUGUGAAUUGCAGAAUUCAGUGAAUCAUCGAAUCUUUGAACGCACAUUGCGCCCGCCAGUAUUCUGGCGGGCAUGCCUGUUCGAGCGUCAUUUCAACCCUCAAGCACAGCUUGGUGUUGGGACUCGCGUUAAUUCGCGUUCCUCAAAUUGAUUGGCGGUCACGUCGAGCUUCCAUAGCGUAGUAGUAAAACCCUCGUUACUGGUAAUCGUCGCGGCGACGCCGUUAAACCCCAACUUCUGAAUGUUGACCUCGGAUCAGGUAGGAAUACCCGCUGAACUUAAGCAUAUCAAUAAGCGGAGGA